rnacentral:rRNA from 1 species
UAAUACGGAGGGGGCUAGCGUUGCUCGGAAUUACUGGGCGUAAAGCGAGCGUAGGCGGCUAAACAAGUUGGGGGUGAAAGCCCGGAGCUCAACUCCGGAACUGCCUCCAAAACUGGUUAGCUAGAGUCCGAGAGAGGAAAGUGGAAUUCCCAGUGUAGGGGUGAAAUUCGUAGAUAUUGGGAAGAACACCAGUGGCGAAGGCGACUUUCUGGAUCGGUACUGACGCUAAGGCUCGAAAGCGUGGGGAGCAAACAGGAUUAGAUACCCUGGUAGUCCACGCCGUAAACGAUGAGUGCUAGACGUUGGGGGUUUAUCCUUCAGUGUCGCAGCUAACGCAUUAAGCACUCCGCCUGGGGAGUACGAUCGCAAGAUUA